GGAGUUGUGGCUCAGCGCUAGAGCGCUUACCUCCUACGGGUGAGGCACUGGGUUCGAUUCCCAGCACCA
rnacentral:tRNA from 1 species